rnacentral:rRNA from 1 species
ACACUCUAUACGGAGUUACAAAGGACGACAUUAGACGAAUCAUCUGGAAAGAUGAAUCAAAGAAGGUAAUAAUCCUGUAGUCGAAAAUGUUGUCUCUCUUGAGUGGAUCCUGAGUACGACGGAGCACGUGAAAUUCCGUCGGAAUCUGGGAGGACCAUCUCCUAAGGCUAAAUACUCUCUAGUGACCGAUAGUGAACCAGUACCGUGAGGGAAAGGUGAAAAGCACCCCGGAAGGGGAGUGAAAUAGAACCUGAAACCGUGUGCUUACAAGUAGUCAGAGCCCGUUAAUGGGUGAUGGCGUGCCUUUUGUAGAAUGAACCGGCGAGUUACGAUUUGAUGCAAGGUUAAGCAGUAAAUGUGGAGCCGUAGCGAAAGCGAGUCUGAAUAGGGCGUUUAGUAUUUGGUCGUAGACCCGAAACCAGGUGAUCUACCCUUGGUCAGGUUGAAGUUCAGGUAACACUGAAUGGAGGACCGAACCGACUUACGUUGAAAAGUGAGCGGAUGAACUGAGGGUAGCGGAGAAAUUCCAAUCGAACCUGGAGAUAGCUGGUUCUCUCCGAAAUAGCUUUAGGGCUAGCCUCAAGUGAUGAUUAUUGGAGGUAGAGCACUGUUUGGACGAGGGGCCCCUCUCGGGUUACCGAAUUCAGACAAACUCCGAAUGCCAAUUAAUUUAACUUGGGAGUC